GGGAGCUGACACAAGUGGAAGCUGACCACAAUGCAGGGAGUGAGGACUGCAGAGACGCCUGGAGGAGUGGAGUGUGGUCAAGUCAAUAAGAAGAUGGAAAAGGACUUUCCCAGGAAUCAUGAAGACCAGAAGACCAAAGGCAUGGGCCCAUGACAUUUCAAGGACUCUGUACUAAUAUCCAACUGCUUCCUAACAAGACCCAGAGUUAGCACCUCUAAAUAUCACAAAUGUAUUGUCUCACAGAGUCUGAGGGACAGCUCUCUGGGUAUAACUUAUGAAUCCUAUCUUUCAGGAUCUAACACAGGUGGCGACCUAAGAUGCUGGCCAGGGCUGGGUCUUAUCUGAAGGCUCAAGGGAAGGAUCUGUUUUCAAGCUCAUGCGGUUGUUGGCAGGCUUCAGUUCUUCAGAGGGUGUUUGACCAACAGCCUUAGUUCCUAGCUGGCUGUUGGCCACAGGCUGCCUUCAGACCUUUAUCAAAUGGACAGCUCCAGCAUGGCCACUUGCUUCGUCAAAGUACGUGAGCCAGGAAGAGGACAGAGUCUGCCAGCAACACUGACGCUGCAAUCUUCAGCACCCUCGUCAUAGAAGUGACAUCCAUCACUUUUGUCCCACUCUGUUAGAAACAGUUGCCAGGUAGCCCAUACUCAGGAGAGCCCAUUCUAUCGCAGUGUGGCUACCAAGAGGCAAGGAUGUUUGGGGCAAUUGAGACUCUGCCUCCCAGAGUCCACUUGGAGAAUUGCAGGUAAUCCUGCAGCAGUACAAGAGGCUGAGGCAGGCAGGCAUAGACCAUGAGGGGCUUCAUAGCCCAUGCCAAGAACUAGGAUACUUUCCUGUAGGAGAUGUGACUCACUUUCUUUUAACUCACCUUUCUGUUUGGUUUUGUUUCUUAGAAUCACUUCAGUUCCGUUUCCUAAAUCCUGUCUGACACACCCUGCACCGUCAGUUCUUUAACUCCUUUACGUGUUUCUGUCCUCUAGUGGGUACCAGUGCAUCCAUCAUUCACUUAACAAAUGCAGCUGAAACUCUCCUGACCCCAAACCAGUGACACCCCAAAUCUGUCAUUUGGAUUUCAGAAGAAAGUUGUUUGGGACUGUCAAAAAAAAAAAAAAAAAAAAAAAA